rnacentral:lncRNA from 1 species
UCUAUGGAUAUUUUACUGCCAUGAUGAGAACACCUCCUAAUUGGCCUUAUCUUUUUGAAACUUUGAGGGACAUACCCAAGUUAAUUAUAAGUGAGACUCUCUCAUAACAUCCGACUGAAGAUAUUAAACUUAGUACUUAUUGGGAAGUAAUCCAAUUUCUUAAAAUAGUCUUAAUAAAAGUCUAGUUGAAAACUUUAAACUCAGCACUC